AUUGAUACAUGUCAUACAAGCUAUUUCAGCAGCUGGUCUAUUGCCCUAUGGUUUAGGUGUUCUUAUGCUGAAUUGGAGAGCGCAGUCUUUAAAUCAAAGGUCUUGUGUACAGUUUAUUGGUGCUGGGUUUUUGUUAGUAGCAGGAUUUCUGUGUUUGGUUGGAUUAAUGAUGUGGAUGUUCAGUAUGCCAGCAUUUUUUACUCAACAGUUUGGGUUGUCAAUCCAACUGGAAGUAGUUUCAAUUGUAUUAGCAGUUGCUGCAUCCGCCCUUAUUAUCCUGGAAAAUAUUGCACACAAUAAAACGGAAUGUAAAUAACACAUUGAUUGUAUCCGUGUUGCAUUCAGCAUUUUAAUGCGUGUUGUGGUUAUGAUAAUAUACGUGCCAUGAAAUAUGUAAAAUAUGUUUAUUCUUCUACGAGAGCAAAUUACGCUUUACAUAAAGGUGUACUGAGGAUCGUAUGGAAGCGUAAAGACUGGACAGUCAUCUACAAAAGUAUAACCAUACGAACAGCCAUUUUGCCGAAGUGACAUAAUUUACUUGACUGUUAAAGUGUUCAAACAGAUCAUACGUUUUAUUUGUACUUAUAAUGCGAAGUACGAUAAUUAAACCAUGUGUAUGUUUCAAUGUUGUAUGUCAAUAGUACGAUAACGUUCGUUUAAAAAUUUCAUGACAUCACAAUACAACUGUAAAAUUGAGAAUGGAAAUGGGGAAUGUGUCAAAGAGACAACAACCCGACCACAGAACAGACAACAGCAGAAGGCCACCAACAGGUCUAUUUUGUAUCUUAGGUUAGAUAGUUUACCCGUUACAGUUCGGUAGAAUUAUUUUAUGUAUUUGUAUAUACUUUAAUAAACAUAGAAAAGAA